GGGGUGAGGAGGGGUCCGGGGUGGGCGUGCGAGGGACCAAGAUGAGCGCGCGGGGGUCCAGGUGGGCGUGCAAGGGUCCGAGGUGAGCGUGGCAGGGUCUGGGUGGGUGUGUGAGGGUCUGGGUGAGUGUGCAAAGGGUCCGGGUGGGCGUGCAAGGCUCAGGGGUGGGUGUGCAAGGGUCUGAGAUGAGCGUGCAAGGCUCAGGGGUGGGUGUGCAAGGCUCAGGGUGCGUGUGCAAGGCUCAGGGAUGAGUGUGGAAGGGUCUGGGUGGGUGUGCAAGGCUCAGAGAUGGGCGUGGAAGGCUCAGGGUGGGUGUGCAAGGCUCAGGGUGGGUGUGCAAGGCUCAGGGUGGGUGAGCGUGCAAGGCUCAAGGAUGAGCGUGGAGUGGUCUGGGUGGGUGUGCAAGGCUCAGGGUGGGUGAGUGUGCAAGGCUCAGGGAUGAGCGUGCAAGGCUCAGGGUGGGUGUGCAAGGCUCAGGGUGGGUGUGCAAGGCUCAGGGAUGGGUGUGCAAGGCUCAGGGUGGGUGAGUGUGCAAGGCGCCGCUGCGGUGCCGCAGGGGCGUGCAAGGGCCGGGCAGGGGCGGGGAAGGUGCUGGAAGGAGCCGGGGGGGCGUGCAAGGGACACGGGGGGUGUGCCAGGUGUGCCAGGUGUGCCAGGUGUGCCAGGUGUGCCAGGGACACCCAAGGGACACCCAGGGGACACCCAAGGGACACCCAGGGGACACCCGGGGCUGCCAGGCCCCCCCGGCCCGGCCGCGAGGCGGCUGCUGCGUCACCCGGGGCUGCACACGCGUGUCCCCUGCGUGUCCCCGAGCGUGUCACGCGUACCUGAGCGUGUCACGCGUGUCCUCUGCGCGUGUCCCCGAGCGUGUCACGCGUGUCCCUGCGGCCUUGGCCCCGCGCCAGUGAUGCCACCAGGCCCCAGAUUCCUGAUGUCCCCAAACCCCGAUGUCCCCAAACCCCGAUGUCCCCAAAUCCCGAUGUCCCCAAAUCCCUGUCCCUGUCUGCAUCCCUGCGCCCGUGUCCCCGUCCCGAUGUCCCCGAGUCAAUCCCGGUGUCCCAGUCCCGGUGUCCCAAAUCCCGGUGUCCCCGUGUCCUUGUCCCUGUGCCAGUGGCACUGCCAGGCCCCGAGGUCCCUGUCCCCAUAUCCCUGUCCUUGUCCCCAUCCCCUUUUCCCUGUCCCCAUUCCUGUCCCUGUCCCCGUGUCCUUGUCCCCAUCCGUGUCCCUGUCCCCAUCCUGGUGCCCAUCCCAAUGUCCCCGUGUCCCUGUCCCCGAGUCAAUCCCGAUGUCCCCAAUCCCGAUGUCCCCAUGUCCCUGUGCCAGCGGCGCCACCAGGCCCUGAGGUCCCUGUCCCCAUCCUGAUAUCCCCGUGUCCCUGUCCCCAUCCCUGUGUCCCCAUCCCUGUCCCCAUGUCCCUGUCCCCGUGUCCCUGUCCCCAUCCUGGUGCCCAUCCCAAUGU
rnacentral:lncRNA from 1 species